rnacentral:rRNA from 1 species
CUAAUACAUGCAAGUCGUACGCUGGAGCGCUCUGCUUGCAGAGCGCGGAUGAGUGGCGAACGGGUGAGUAACACGUGGGCAACCUGCCUGUAAGAUCGGGAUAACUUGCGGAAACGUGAGCUAAUACCGGAUAAAGCUUCACAUCUCCUGGUGUGAAGAUGAAAGACGGCUCUGCUGUCACUUACAGAUGGGCCCGCGGCGCAUUAGCUAGUUGGUGGGGUAAAGGCCUACCAAGGCGACGAUGCGUAGCCGACCUGAGAGGGUGAUCGGCCACACUGGGACUGAGACACGGCCCAGACUCCUACGGGAGGCAGCAGUAGGGAAUCUUCCGCAAUGGACGAAAGUCUGACGGAGCAACGCCGCGUGAGUGAUGAAGGUUUUCGGAUCGUAAAACUCUGUUGUCAGGGAAGAACAAGUUUGAGAGUAACUGCUCAGACCUUGACGGUACCUGACCAGAAAGCCACGGCUAACUACGUGCCAGCAGCCGCGGUAAUACGUAGGUGGCAAGCGUUGUCCGGAAUUAUUGGGCGUAAAGCGCUCGCAGGCGGUCUUUUAAGUCUGAUGUGAAAUCUUGCGGCUUAACCGUAAGCGGUCAUUGGAAACUGGAGGACUUGAGUACAGAAGAGGAGAGUGGAAUUCCACGUGUAGCGGUGAAAUGCGUAGAGAUGUGGAGGAACACCAGUGGCGAAGGCGAC